AAGAAAGUAAGAAAGGGCGUAUGGCGGAUGCCUAGGCUCACGGAGGCGAUGAAGGACGUGAUAAGCUGCGAUAAGCUUCGGGUAGGUGCAAAUAACCUUUGAUCCGAAGAUUUCCGAAUGGGACAACCUAGCCGUCUGAAGGACGGUUACUCUUACCAAUGUAAGAGAGCUAACGCAGGGAACUGAAACAUCUUAGUACCUGCAGGAAGAGAAAAUAAAUGAAUGAUUCCCCCAGUAGUGGCGAGCGAACGGGGAACAGCCCAAACCAGUGGCGUCGCAAGGCGUGGCUGGGGUUGUAGGACCGCGACAUUGUAUGAAAUGGUGAGUGGAAGUAUCUGGAAAGUUACAUCACAGAAGGUGAUAAUCCUGUACACGAAGCCAAAUCAGCAUAGCGGUAUCCUGAGUAACGCGGGACACGAGGAAUCCUGCGCGAAUCUGCCGGGACCAUCCGGUAAGGCUAAAUACUCCCGUGAGACCGAUAGCGAACGAGUACUGUGAAGGAAAGGUGAAAAGAACCCCGAGCAGGGGAGUGAAAUAGUUCCUGAAACCAUACGCCUACAAGCGGUCGGAGCAUCGUAAGAUGUGACGGCGUGCCUUUUGCAUAAUGAUCCUACGAGUUACCGUCACUGGCGAGGUUGAGUGUCACGAGACACGUAGCCGCAGUGAAAGCGAGCCUGAAUAGGGCGCACAGUCAGUGGGGGUAGACGCGAAACCAAGUGAUCUACACUUGGCCAGGAUGAAGUCCCGGUAACACGGGAUGGAGGUCCGCACCAAUAAGCGUUGAAAAGCUUCUGGAUGAGCCGAGUGUAGGAGUGAAAGGCCAAUCAAACUUGGAGAUAGCUCGUACUCCCCGAAAGGCAUUUAGGUGCCGCGUCGGAUGGUCACCGUGAGAGGUAGAGCGACCGAUAGGACAAGAGGGCUUCACCGCCUAUCGAGUCCUGACGAACUCCGAAUGCUCACGGUCUGCAGUCCGGCAGUAAGGGGGCGGGUGCUAAGGUCCGUCCCCGAGAGGAGAAGAAUCCAGACCGCCGUCUAAGGUCCCGGAGUUCUGCCUGAGUUAGUCUAACGAAGUCUGGUCCCUAUGACAGCUAGGAUGUUGGCUUGGAAGCAGCCAUUCAUUCAAAGAGUGCGUAACAGCUCACUAGUCGAGGGUCCGGGCAUGGAUAAUAAUCGGGUAUAAGGCAGACACCGAAGGCGCGGGAUAGCAAUUAUAAAAGUAUCGGUAGGGGAGCAUACUCACAGCGUCGAAUGGUGUACGUAAGUUAUCCUGGAGCGGUGAGUAAAGCAAAUGUAGGAAUAAGUAACGAUAAGGAGGGUUAGAUUCCCUCCCGCUGUAAGACCAAGGUUUCCCGGGCAAUGCCAAUCAGCCCGGGGUCAGUCGGGUCCUAAGUCUAAGCCGAACGGCGAUGGCGAUGGCAGAGACGGUUAAUAUUCCGUCACUGCCGCAUGGGGCGACGUGGAGACGGAGCAGUGAAACCACCGCGGGGCGACGGAAGUCCCCGUUGAAGAGUGUAGGCGUUGAGGAUGGCAGGCAAAUCCACCAUCCGAGCUGAACUUGACAGUACGGAGUCCUCUUCGGAGGAAUCCAAUAGUGUGGGUAAUCAUACUCCCGAGAAAAUCCGCUAAGCUUAACCCAUGCGGCACCCGUACCGCAAACGGACACACGUGGUCGGGUAGAACAUACUAAGGCGUUGAGAGAUUCAUGGUUAAGGAACUAGGCAAAUUGACCCUGUAACUUCGGGAUAAAGGGUCCUCGUGAUGAGCGAGGCGCAGAGAAUAGGUCCAGGCAACUGUUUAACAAAAACACAGGGCUGUGCAAACUCGAAAGAUGACGUAUACAGCCUGACACCUGCCCGGUGCCGGAAGGUUAAGAGGAGAUGUCACCAGCAAUGAGGAAGCAUUGAAUUGAAGCCCCGGUAAACGGCGGCCGUAACUAUAACGGUCCUAAGGUAGCGAAAUUCCUUGUCGGGUAAGUUCCGACCUGCACGAAUGGUGUAAUGAUCCGGACGCUGUCUCAACCAUGAGCUCAGUGAAAUUGUAGUAUCGGUGAAGAUGCCGAUUACCCGCGAUGGGACGAAAAGACCCCGUGAACCUUUACUACAGCUUAGCAUUGACCUUGGUCAUCCGAUGUGUAGGAUAGGCCGGAGGCUUCGAAGCGGGAGCGCCAGCUUUCGUGGAGCCAUCCUUGAAAUACGGCCCUUUGGCUGUCUGAGGUCUAACGCGCGAUGCGCGGACACUGCUUGGUGGGUAGUUUGACUGGGGUGGUCGCCUCCAAAAGCGUAACGGAGGCUUCCAAAGGUGCCCUCGGGUCGAUUGGUAACCGACCUCAAAGAGUGCAAUGGCAUAAGGGCGCUUGACUGGGAGGCAGACAUGCCGAGCAGGCAGGAAACUGGGGCAUAGUGAUCCGGCGGAUGUGUA
rnacentral:rRNA from 1 species